CAAAAAACCAGGGGAAAACCAGGGCGUAAUGGACCCAAUGAAUUAACGGCCCAAAAGGCGUUCCCCUGCCAGGGGUUUUAAAACGCCUGGAGGAGUACUUNUUAUUUUUUUUUUUGCGGGGGUUUUAUUUUGUGCAAAGGGGCGAAAAGCNGACCCAGCAACGCCGCGUGAGGGAUGAAGUAUUUCGGUAUGUAAACCUCGAAAGNAUAGGAAGAAUAAANGGAACGGUACUAUUUAUAAGCACCGGUUAACUCCUGUGCCAGCAGCCGCGGUAAUACAGAGGGUGCAAGCGUUGUUCGGAAUCACUGGGCGUAAAGCGCGCGCAGGCGGAGAUGCAAGUCUGUAAGUGAAAUCCAGCCGCUCAACGGCUGGGCUGCUUCGGAUACUACAUCUCUAGGGACCGGUAGAGGCUGGUAGAAUUGCAGGUGUAGCGGUGGAAUGCGUAGAGAUCUGCAAGAAUACCCGUGGCGAAGGCGGCCAGCUGGGCCGGGUCCGACGCUGAGGCGCGAAAGCCAGGGGAGCAAACGGGAUUAGAUACCCUGGUAGUCCACGCCGUAAACGAUGGGUGCUAGGUGUCGCGGGCUUUGACCCCUGCGGUGCCGUAGCUAACGCAUUAAGCACCCCGCCUGGGGAGUACGGCCGCAAGGCUAAAACUCAAAGGAAUUG
rnacentral:rRNA from 1 species